rnacentral:rRNA from 1 species
UACGUAGGGUGCGAGCGUUUGUCCGGAAUUAUUGGGCGUAAAGAGCUCGUAGGCGGCUUGUCGCGUCGAAUGUGAAAACUCGGGGCUCAACUCCGAGCUUGCAUUCGAUACGGGCAGGCUAGAGUUCGGUAGGGGAGACUGGAAUUCCUGGUGUAGCGGUGAAAUGCGCAGAUAUCAGGAGGAACACCGGUGGCGAAGGCGGGUCUCUGGGCAGUAACUGACGCUGAGGAGCGAAAGCGUGGGGGAGCGAACAGG